AGAGAAUAGCAGGAUGAGCACAGAUGAGACGAGAGACAGAGAAAGAGGACAAACACUGAACACAUUAUCUAGUGGGGUACAUGCUCACACGGGACAGUGAGGGUUAAGCUGAGGCGUGGUCAGUGCUGGUUCUGGCUUUACGUAAUUGGCUCCUGAGGUUGUCCAUCUCCUGUUGCCCCGCCCUCCUCACCUCUUCUAGUUCCUCAUCACAGCGCUGCCUCUCCGCCUGCCACUUCCUCUUCCUGUCUGAGAGAGUCUGAAACAGUUUAAUAGACAUGAUUACCCCAAAGAGGUCCAAACGAAGCAGGCCAGCCAGCCCAGCCAGAGGGCCAAUCCAAGCUUAAUGGGUUAAUAAAAUAUCUUUACCGUUCCAAUGGUGUGGUUUUGCAGGAGCCAGCCAGAGUAGGCCACUUCUAGACAAUCUCCGUUCUCCACACCCUGCCCCUCACCAAGCAGAAGAUCCUGGAUCAGGACAGAGUCUAAAGAACUGUUGCAGUUUGCUUUUGUGAGACAAACCUGAAACAAUGAAUCCACUUAUUUAAGGACCAGAGUAAACAAGUUCUGUUGUGCAAAAAAAACCUUAUACAACACAGUGCCACAGAACUCAGUAAACACAAACCUCUUUACAAAAGUCUGUAGCUGCUUUCUCCGAUUCAAACAUCAGUGACCAAUUUUGUCUCUGGUCAUCGUAAAAUGUGCAGUAGUUACUGGGUUGGACCUGAACGUGAGAGAGACAACCAUAAACAAUACAGCAAAUAUACGUAUAUUCUAUCUUCAAAUCAGUAGGUGAUUGUAAAUAAGAGCUCACAGUAAGAAUGAAGCCGUUGUGGAUUCUGGCUGCCGUAACCUGCUUCUGCUGACUGACAUACAGCAGGAUCUUAUACUGAAGAAGAAUGUAAAUGUGUGUGCAUUAUAAUCAAAAUUCCUGAUAUGUGUAACUGCAUUGAGUCACAUGCAAUUAGACCAAAAACAUAUGAAGCAAAGUUAAUCCGCACAUUAAAGGGAUAGUUCAACCAAAAGUGAAAAUGUUCUCAUUUACAUUGUAUGGACCUAAAGCUGCAAUAUUUUUUUAAAAACUUUGUGUUCAGCAGAAGAAAUAAAGUCAUACACAUCUGGGAUGGCAUGAGGGUCAGUAAAUGAUGAGAGAAUUGUGAUUUUUGGGUGAACUAUUCCUUUAAAUUACACUGAGAGGGCCCUUUUCAGACAUCAUGCUUUAAUUAAAAUCUCCCAUUUUACACAGAUCCAUUUAAGAUUAAAAACACACACACUACUAUUCUAACCUCUUUAGUUGUAUGGUUUCCAAGCACCGCAGCUCCGAGCUUGCCUUGUUUCACAUACUGUCCAUUAACACUGCAUAGAAAAAAAAAAAAACGUGAUCACUGUAUUUUCCUGUUCAUUAAUGACAAACUGAACAUUAAUCUGUAAACUUUCCAAAACCCUCGACAAUGUAAACUCAGGAUGUACUUUGAUUUAGGGGGGAUGAAAAUACAGAUUUUACAUA